AGUCCCAAAAUCCACAGUCUUUCAAAUAAAAGCAUGGUCAGGCCUAUCACAGCAAUACCCCAGUCCCUGGUACCAACUUCUGUCUUAGUGUUUUACUGCUGUGAACAGACACCAUGACCAAGGCAAGUCUUAUAAAAACAAACAAACAAACAAACAAAAUAAAACCAUUUAAUUGGGGCUGGUUUACAGGUUCAGAGGUUCAGUCCAUUAUCAUCAAGAUAGGAGCAUGGCAGUAUCCAAGCAGGCAUGGCGCAGGCAGAGCUGAGAGUUCUAUAUCUGCUAGUAGAGGACUGACUUCCAGGCAACUAGGAUGAGAGUCUUAAACCCACACCCACAGUGACACACCUAUUCCAACCAGGCCAGAUGUUGCCACUCCCUGGUCUGAGAAUAUACAAACCAUUACAUAGAGUAUACUCCAUGUGUUUGCAGUGAAGAAGAUGGGACAUAAAACAAGCACACAAAAUAAUUUCUAUAUUAUAGUGUAAUGAAAUCAUAUUAAAAGUAUAUAUGAGCUGAACUGCAAUCAGAGACAAGUGGGCUUCUGGCUUUCUUUUGGUUUAUAUAUUAGAAAGUACAUCCAAAAUGUUACAAUGAUUUGAGCUUUAGAAAAUGUUAGAACAUGGACUUUAGGAGAUGGAACAAAGUACAUUCAAGGCUGAAUGAUUCGAAUAAGGAAAAUCAUAAAGACACACAACUGAUAUGUCUGCCUGACCACCUGGUUUUGUUAGAUUAGAGAAACGGUUGGAAAAACAUUUUAGAAGAUAUGCGUCAAAUGACAAGACUUUUCCUGACUUAUUAUUCACCUUUCAGGUUCAUUUAAUUCCCUCACAGGAAUAGAUUCUAAAAUGAGGAAGACCAUGGUUUUGAACAGAAGCGUAGCUCUUCAAAGAAUUGUAUUUUAGGUAAGCAAAUUAAGAUGGGCUGUGGAUGUAUGCGUUUGAGAUAAGACCAAAGCUGUUUAAAAAACAUCUGAGGGUCAGAUAUAAACGAGAUAUCCCAGUUCGUUUAAAAGCAAAGCCAAAGCCUGACUGUGAACCAAAUUAAGAAAGAGGAAAAUAACUCUGAUUUAUGCCAGCCAUGUGUUGGCCACUAUAGCCAGUUUGUUAGUCAGUUCUUUGUAAUUGGAUUUCUGAAUUAUUUGUUCUUCCUACAUUAUUGCCAUCUUUAGGAGGAAUGUGGUCAUUUUUCAGCUUCCUGCAUUGAUAAGUAGGUAUACAACUCCCACUGUUUUUCAUGUGUGUCUAAUUUUUGCCACUCUGCUGAAAAAUAUGUGACAAAUCAGAAGUCGGUAUAUUGCAUUUUACAUCCUUAGUAGGAAACAGUUUCAGCAGGAGGUACAGUAUAAUACAGAAUACUCAAGUAGAAGCAAUUCAUUUAAGCCUGCAAGCAUUCCUGUGGUACAGUGGUCCAAGCACUAGCCACAGAUAGAGGGGCAAAAGAUGCAGCUUUUCCCUCACGUACUUACUCUUAAGGAUGACCGGAACACAUACAUGUUGUAUUCAUUUUCUCUGGCUAAAGAAGGAACUCAUGAUCUAAACGACUGAUAAUGAAACCAAUUUAUUAUUUCACAAAUUUUGCAAGUCAAAUGUAUGGACGUGACUUAAACUGUUUUUCUUCUCAGAGUCUCACAAGGCUGUAGUGCAAUGUUGGCCCGGCUUAUUUUCUUUUGAAGGUUGAGUAGGGAACAAUCUACAUCCAGUUCUUGCAGAACAAAUUUCUUCAUAAAUGCAAGUACAUAGCAGUGUAUUUCUUCUGAUCAAGGAAUAGAAAGGAUCUGCAGUGAUUCUCCUAUCUAACAUCAGUGAUGACCUAGACACCCUUUGAAAGGACUUUUUGGAUUAUACUAGGCUUAACCCAGUAUAAAUGAUCUUUUGAUGAAGCCAAAGUCUACUAAUUGGGGACUUAAUUACUCCUGAAAUAUUACUUUGCCUUUGCCAUAUUCUGUUUUCUACAAAUAUUUCACAACAUCAACACAUAUUCAAACAAAGGACAUUAAUACAAGGGCAUGACUUACUAUCAUUCUUUUGCUGUCACAUCCCAUACAACGUACAAACCAUGAAAAUAAAAAUCCCCCUGUAUGACUGGAUUUUUAAUCACAGUGGAAAUUAUGUGUAAUAACUGAGGAAACACAAAGCAAAAGUAUAUGUGGGGAUGACUUACUUAUUCAGGAAAUGCUUAAAACAAAUCUAUCCAUGUAUCCUUUGAUCCGAUGCUAACCUCUAUGGCUGAAGCAAGUGCCACAUACCAAGUGGCUUAGAUACAUCUUUACAGCAUUCCAAGAUUUCAGAACUCUAAAAUAUGUUCCUGUCU
rnacentral:lncRNA from 1 species